rnacentral:tRNA from 1 species
UAAUUUAGGGUGAUGGUAGAAUGCUCGCCUGCCACGCGGGCGACCCGGGUUCGAUUCCCGG